rnacentral:rRNA from 1 species
UACGUAGGGUGCGAGCGUUAAUCGGAAUUACUGGGCGUAAAGUGUGCGCAGGCGGUUUCGCAAGUCAAGUGUGAAAGCCCCGGGCUUAACCUGGGAACUGCGCUUGAAACCACCUCACUCGAGUGUGGGAGAGGGAAGCGGAAUUCCUGGUGUAGAGGUGAAAUUCGUAGAUAUCAGGAGGAACACCGGCGGCGAAGGCGGCUUCCUGGCCCAUUACUGACGUUCAGGUACGAAAGCGUGGGGAGCAAACAGG